CCUACGGGAGGCAGCAGUAGGGAAUCUUCCGCAAUGGACGAAAGUCUGACGGAGCAACGCCGCGUGAGUGACGAAGGUUUUCGGAUCGUAAAACUCUGUUGUGAGGGAAGAACAAGUACCAACUAACUACUGGUACCUUGACGGUACCUCACCAGAAAGCCACGGCUAACUACGUGCCAGCAGCCGCGGUAAU
rnacentral:rRNA from 1 species